AGUGAACGCUGGCGGCGUGCCUAAUACAUGCAAGUCGAACGGAAUUUAAGAGAGCUUGCUCUUUUGAAUUUAGUGGCGCACGGGUGAGUAAUAUAUAGCUAAUCUGCCCCUUGCUGGAGGACGACAGUUAGAAAUGACUGCUAAUACUCCAUACUCCUUUUUACCAUAAGAUAAAUCGGGAAAGAAUUUCGGCAAGGGAUGAGACUAUAUCGUAUCAGCUAGUCGGUGGGGUAACGGCCUACCGAGGCUAUGACGCGUAACUGGUCUGAGAGGAUGAUCAGUCACAUUGGAACUGAGACACGGUCCAAACUCCUACGGGAGGCAGCAGUAGGGAAUAUUGCGCAAUGGGGGAAACCCUGACGCAGCAACGCCGCGUGGAGGAUGACACUUUUCGGAGCGUAAACUCCUUUUGUUAGGGAAGAAUAAUGACGGUACCUAACGAAUAAGCACCGGUAA
rnacentral:rRNA from 1 species